GGGUUGUGAGGUUAAGCGACUAAGCGUACACGGUGGAUGCCUAGGCAGUCAGAGGCGAUGAAGGGCGUGCUAAUCUGCGAAAAGCGUCGGUAAGCUGAUAUGAAGCGUUAUAACCGACGAUACCCGAAUGGGGAAACCCAGUGCAAUACGUUGCACUAUCGUUAGAUGAAUACAUAGUCUAACGAGGCGAACCGGGGGAACUGAAACAUCUAAGUACCCCGAGGAAAAGAAAUCAACCGAGAUUCCCCCAGUAGCGGCGAGCGAACGGGGAGGAGCCCAGAGUCUGAAUCAGUUUGUGUGUUAGUGGAAGCGUCUGGAAAGUCGCACGGUACAGGGUGAUAGUCCCGUACACCAAAAUGCACAGGCUGUGAACUCGAUGAGUAGGGCGGGACACGUGACAUCCUGUCUGAAUAUGGGGGGACCAUCCUCCAAGGCUAAAUACUCCUGACUGACCGAUAGUGAACCAGUACCGUGAGGGAAAGGCGAAAAGAACCCCGGCGAGGGGAGUGAAAUAGAACCUGAAACCGUGUACGUACAAGCAGUGGGAGCACCUUCGUGGUGUGACUGCGUACCUUUUGUAUAAUGGGUCAGCGACUUAUAUUUUGUAGCAAGGUUAACCGAAUAGGGGAGCCGUAGGGAAACCGAGUCUUAACUGGGCGUCUAGUUGCAAGGUAUAGACCCGAAACCCGGUGAUCUAGCCAUGGGCAGGUUGAAGGUUGGGUAACACUAACUGGAGGACCGAACCGACUAAUGUUGAAAAAUUAGCGGAUGACUUGUGGCUGGGGGUGAAAGGCCAAUCAAACCGGGAGAUAGCUGGUUCUCCCCGAAAGCUAUUUAGGUAGCGCCUCGUGAACUCAUCUUCGGGGGUAGAGCACUGUUUCGGCUAGGGGGCCAUCCCGGCUUACCAAACCGAUGCAAACUCCGAAUACCGAAGAAUGUUAUCACGGGAGACACACGGCGGGUGCUAACGUCCGUCGUGAAGAGGGAAACAACCCAGACCGCCAGCUAAGGUCCCAAAGUCAUGGUUAAGUGGGAAACGAUGUGGGAAGGCACAGACAGCCAGGAUGUUGGCUUAGAAGCAGCCAUCAUUUAAAGAAAGCGUAAUAGCUCACUGGUCGAGUCGGCCUGCGCGGAAGAUGUAACGGGGCUAAACCAUGCACCGAAGCUGCGGCAGCGACACUUAGGUGUUGUUGGGUAGGGGAGCGUUCUGUAAGCCGUUGAAGGUGACCUGUGAGGGUUGCUGGAGGUAUCAGAAGUGCGAAUGCUGACAUAAGUAACGAUAAUGCGGGUGAAAAACCCGCACGCCGGAAGACCAAGGGUUCCUGUCCAACGUUAAUCGGGGCAGGGUGAGUCGACCCCUAAGGCGAGGCUGAAAAGCGUAGUCGAUGGGAAACAGGUUAAUAUUCCUGUACUUGGUGUUACUGCGAAGGGGGGACGGAGAAGGCUAGGCUGGCCGGGCGACGGUUGUCCCGGUUUAAGCGUGUAGGGGGAGUGACCAGGUAAAUCCGGUUGCUUAUCAACCCUGAGGCGUGAUGACGAUGCACCACGGUGCAGAAGCAGUUGAUGCCAUGCUUCCAGGAAAAGCCUCUAAGCAUCAGGUAACAUUAAAUCGUACCCCAAACCGACACAGGUGGUCAGGUAGAGAAUACUCAGGCGCUUGAGAGAACUCGGGUGAAGGAACUAGGCAAAAUGGUGCCGUAACUUCGGGAGAAGGCACGCUGGCGUUAGGUGAAAGGACUAGCUCCUGGAGCUGAAGCCAGUCGCAGAUACCAGCUGGCUGCAACUGUUUAAUAAAAACACAGCACUGUGCAAACACGAAAGUGGACGUAUACGGUGUGACGCCUGCCCGGUGCUGGAAGGUUAAUUGAUGGGGUCAGCCGCAAGGGGAAGCUCUUGAUCGAAGCCCCAGUAAACGGCGGCCGUAACUAUAACGGUCCUAAGGUAGCGAAAUUCCUUGUCGGGUAAGUUCCGACCUGCACGAAUGGCGUAAUGAUGGCCAGGCUGUCUCCACCCGAGACUCAGUGAAAUUGAACUCGCUGUGAAGAUGCAGUGUACCCGCGGCAAGACGGAAAGACCCCGUGAACCUUUACUAUAGCUUGACACUGAACAUUGAGCCUUGAUGUGUAGGAUAGGUGGGAGGCCUUGAAGUGUGGACGCCAGUCUGCAUGGAGCCAACCUUGAAAUACCACCCUUUAAUGUUUGAUGUUCUAACUCGGCCCCAUGAUCUGGGGUGAGGACAGUGUCUGGUGGGUAGUUUGACUGGGGCGGUCUCCUCCCAAAGAGUAACGGA
rnacentral:rRNA from 1 species